CCUCUUGUCCCAAGUGCUCUAUGAAUCUAGCGGAAACACUUCCGGACAGGCUUGGGUCUGGACACCAGUGUGCGGAAGUGCUUCUGCUAAGUUUUUAGGGUGUCUGCUUCCUUUGGAC
rnacentral:pre_miRNA from 13 species